CCGAGGCCCGCGCCCCCUCCUCACCUGCAUUCAGCGCGCCAGGGUCCGGGCGGCGGCGACGACGGCGGCGGCGGCGGGGCGGCUGCUGCUGGGGCUGCGGCGGCGGGGGAGGCGGCGGCGGCGGUGGCGGCGGGGCUGAGGGCAGUAAAGACAUGCAGGCAGCCCGCCGGGGGGAGAGGCACCGGCCGGAGGGGACGCGGGGCGGGCGGGCCGGGCCGGGCCGCCUGAGGAACCACCGAGGCGGCGGAGGGCUGCCGAAGGGAGCGCAGAGCAGACGGAUCAGGGGGCGGGGAAGGGGAACGCGGGCCGCGCCGCGCCGGACCUGGGCGACCCGGGCGCGCAGGAGAGGGCCCGCGGUCGCCGGAGACGCGGCUGCCGCUGCUGCGAGAGCCUCGCGGAGCCCGCCCUUGGCCUUGGCCUUCUGGCGCUGAGGCUGCCGCCGCUGCGGGGGUUGCUGCCGAGCCGGGUGGUUGCCGAGGCCGGGGCCGAGCAGAGAGAGAAAGACAGGGAGAGAAGAGAGACGCGAGCUUUCGGUGCCUUCGCUCUAAUUCACACACGCUCACAACCCCGAGGGCCGGGGAGAGGAGUCCGGGCGCUAUCGCUUUAGAGAUUAAUAACAAGGUGCAGAGAGUGCGAGGAAGAGGAGGAGGAGGAGAGUUGAUUGACGUGGAGGGGCUGGCGGGAGUCAGUCACUCCCCCGCGCCGAGGGGUGGGGUGAGGGAAGGGGCGGGGCUCCGGCGCCGCGGUUCGGGAGGUGCGCGUGCGUGUGGGGCGGCCAAGCUCCCGGCUGGCUUCCUUCCUCGCCCUCGCUGGUGUUUUGAAAAAAAAAAAAUCUGCUUUAUUAGAUUGAGCGGAGAGUAGAGCCGAGAGGACUUGUACGAUUAGCAAAGCCCACGCGCUUAUGGGGAUGGGGAAGGGACACGCGGGUGCUUGCACUGUUCCCCUGCCGCUGGCCCACGCAGGCCCACAGCAGAGCUCAGGGCAUUCUGGGUGGUUCAGGAGACCUCAGACUGGAUUUUGAUUCACCUGUGUAACGGGCUCCAAUCCUGGACUCAAUGGGAAGGAGAGAACCAGUGAAACGCCUACAUUCCUUUUCUUCAGUGGUUUGCUUAACUGUGAGCUUCUGCGGUGCCUUCCCCUCCAAGCAAUCUCUGUGAGCCCGAAUAUUCCCUCCUUCCUUCCUCAAGGUGCCUUUUCUGGUUAGGUAAUUAACAACAACAACUAGAAAAGUAACUGGCAUGUAUACUGAGCAUAGAUAACUA
ensembl:lncRNA